rnacentral:rRNA from 1 species
ACCUAAUAGAUACCCUGGUAGUCCACGCCCUAAACGAUGCGAACUGGAUGUUGGGUACAUUACGGUACUCAGUGUCGAAAGCUAAACGCGUUAAGUUCGCCGCCUGGGGAGUACGGUCGCAAGACUGAAACUCAAAGGAAUUGACGGGGGCCCGCACAAGCGGUGGAGUAUGUGGUUUAAUUCGAUGCAACGCGAAGAACCCUACCUGGCCUUGACAUCUGUCGAAUCCUGCAGAGAUGCGGGGGUGCCGCAAGGAACGACAAGACAGGUGCUGCAUGGCUGUCGUCAGCUCGUGUCGUGAGAUGUUGGGUUAAGUCCCGCAACGAGCGCAACCCUUGUCCCUAGUUGCCAGCACAUCAUGGUGGGAACUCUAGGGAGACUGCCGGUGACAAACCGGAGGAAGGUGGGGAUGGCGUCAAGUCCUCAUGGCCCU